rnacentral:rRNA from 1 species
AUUGCCUCAGUAACGGCGAGUGAAGCGGCAAGAGCUCAAAUUUGAAAUCUGGCGCCUUUGGCGUCCGAGUUGUAAUUUGCAGAGGAUGCUUCGGAUACAGCCCCUGUCUAAGUGCCCUGGAACGGGCCGUCGGAGAGGGUGAGAAUCCCGUCUGGGACAGGGUGUCUGUGUCUGUGUGAAGCUCCUUCGACGAGUCGAGUUGUUUGGGAAUGCAGCUCUAAAUGGGUGGUAAAUUUCAUCUAAAGCUAAAUAUUGGCCGGAGACCGAUAGCGCACAAGUAGAGUGAUCGAAAGAUGAAAAGCACUUUGGAAAGAGAGUUAAACAGCACGUGAAAUUGUUGAAAGGGAAGCGCUUGCGACCAGACUCGCUUGCAGGGUUCAGCCGGGAUUCGUCCCGGUGUACUUCCCUGCUGGCGGGCCAGCGUCGGUUUGGGCGGCCGGUCAAAGGCCCCUGGAAUGUAGCACCCUCGGGUGUCUUAUAGCCAGGGGUGCAAUGCGGCCUGCCUGGACCGAGGAACGCGCUUCGGCACGGACGCUGGCAUAAUGGUCGUAAGCGACCCGUCUUGAAACACGGACCAAGGAGUCUAACAUCUAUGCGAGUGUUCGGGUGUCAAACCCGUACGCGCAGUGAAAGCGAACGGAGGUGGGAACCCCUCGGGGCGCACCAUCGACCGAUCCUGAUGUCUUCGGAUGGAUUUGAGUAAGAGCAUAGCUGUUGGGACCCGAAAGAUGGUGAACUAUGCCUGAAUAGGGCGAAGCCAGAGGAAACUCUGGUGGAGGCUCGCAGCGGUUCUGACGUGCAAAUCGAUCGUCAAAUUUGGGUAUAGGGGCGAAAGACUAAUCGAACCAUCUGGUAGCUGGUUCUGCG